AUUGAACGCUGGCGGCAUGCCUUACACAUGCAAGUCGAACGGCAGCACGGGUGCUUGCACCUGGUGGCGAGUGGCGAACGGGUGAGUAAUACAUCGGAACAUGUCCUGUAGUGGGGGAUAGCCCGGCGAAAGCCGGAUUAAUACCGCAUACGAUCUACGGAUGAAAGCGGGGGACCUUCGGGCCUCGCGCUAUCGGGUUGGCCGAUGGCUGAUUAGCUAGUUGGUGGGGUAAAGGCCUACCAAGGCGACGAUCAGUAGAUGGUCUGAGAGGACGACCAGCCACACUGGGACUGAGACACGGCCCAGACUCCUACGGGAGGCAGCAGUGGGGAAUUUUGGACAAUGGGCGAAAGCCUGAUCCAGCAAUGCCGCGUGUGUGAAGAAGGCCUUCGGGUUGUAAAGCACUUUUGUCCGGAAAGAAAUCCUUGGCUCUAAUACAGUCGGGGGAUGACGGUACCGGAAGAAUAAGCACCGGCUAACUACGUG
rnacentral:rRNA from 1 species